rnacentral:tRNA from 1 species
GCCCCCUUAGCUCAGAGGAUAGAGCAGCGGUUUCCUAAACCGUGUGCCCAGGUUCGAGUCCUGGAGGGGGCG